rnacentral:rRNA from 1 species
UACAGAGGUCUCAAGCGUUGUUCGGAUUCAUUGGGCGUAAAGGGUGCGUAGGCGGCGCGGUAAGUCGGGUGUGAAAUCUCGGAGCUUAACUCCGAAAACUGCAUUCGAUACUGCCGUGCUUGAGGACUGGAGAGGAGACUGGAAUUCAUGGUGUAGCAGUGAAAAUGCGUAGAGAUCAUGAGGAAGACCAGUGGCGAAGGCGGGUCUCUGGACAGUUCCUGACACUGAGACACGAAGGCCAGGGGAGCAAACGGG